GGCCCAAUGGUCUAGUGGUAUGAUUCCUGCUUUGGGUAUUACAUCUCAAACCUGCAGGAGGCCCGUGAGUACACACCGCACUAAUAAUCUUCGAACUUGUAGCUAACAAUAUAUACAGCGCGUUCGAAUCGCGGUUGGGCCC